GACGAACGCUGGCGGCGUGCUUAACACAUGCAAGUCGAACGGUGAAGCCCUUCGGGGUGGAUCAGUUGCGAACGGGUGAGUAACACUUGAGCAACCUGCCCCUGGCUCUGGGAUAACCACUGCAAACGGUGGCUAAUACCGGAUACGACUCGCCUCUCCAUCGAGUUUGGGGGGGAUGUUUUGCGGCUGGGGAUGGGCUCGCGGCCUAUCAGCUUGUUGGUGUGGUGAAGGCUCACCAAGGCGACGACGGGUAGCCGGCCUGAGAGGGCGACCGGCCACACUGGGACUGAGACACGGCCCAGACUCCUACGGGAGGCAGCAGUGGGGAAUAUUGCACAAUGGGCGAAAGCCUGAUGCAGCGACGCCGCGUGAGGGAUGACGGCCUUCGGGUUGUAAACCGCUUUCAGCUGCGAAGAAGCGAAAGUGACGGUAAGAGGAGAAGAAGCACCGGCUAACUACGUG
rnacentral:rRNA from 1 species